rnacentral:misc_RNA from 1 species
CCGCAGGGUGCAAUUGAGUGGCGUGAAUCACCGGAGACCACAGCGGCGUCCUGGCCAUGAUGGAUGUCGGUCUUUAGCGAUUGAGUUGGCUUGCGGCGGAAUGGGAUAAGUUAGACUCUGUGUGCGCACAUGAAGAAGAAAAAUAAAUAAAUAAAUAAGUAAAAUAGAAGCCCAGUUACCUCCCCUCUCACUCCCUCUCUUUCUUUUCCUUUUCCUUCACUUCUCGCACUUGAUUCUCUCCUUCUCUAUCUCUCUCUCCGAUUCCAAUCAUCUUCGCCUAACUUCUUCACCUCUGUCUAACGACUUCUAAUUUUCCCUCCAUUUUGCAUUUGCUUCGCUAAUUUUUGUUCCCUCUCAUUGAAUUCACUCGUUUCGCUUCUCUUGGUUGUUUGCCAUCGUAUUUCUCAAUCGAUUGGAUUUUAUUUUUCUUCUUUUGUUUAUGAUAUGUUACAAAUAAUGACAAUAAUUUAAAUUCAGACGGUUUGAGGCCGCUUAGGGUUUUUGUUUCUGUUAAGCUGAUCGUUGAAGAUGCUUCCAUGGGGUGGAAUUAGUUGCUGUUUGAGUGCUGCUGCGCUCUAUUUGCUUGGCAGGAGCAGUGGCAGGGAUGCAGAGGUUCUUAAAUCGGUCGCAAGAGUCAAUCAGCUGAAGGAAUUGGCAAAAUUACUUGAUAUUGAAAGCAAAGUCUUACCUUUGGUUGUUGCUAUCUCUGGAAGAGUUGGCUCAGAGACUCCAAUUAAUUGCGAGUAUAGUGGCUUGAGAGGUGUUAUAGUAGAGGAGACGGCUGAACAACACUUCCUCAAGCACAACGAUUCUGGAUCUUGGAUUCAAGAUUCAGCCUUAAUGCUAUCAAUGAGUAAAGAAGUCCCAUGGUACCUGGAUGACGGGACUGAUCGAGUAUAUGUUGUGGGGGCCCGAGGUGCCUCUGGGUUUGUGUUAACUGUUGGAAGUGAAAUUUUUGAAGAGUCAGGACGAUCACUUGUACGUGGAACAUUAGACUAUCUCCAAGGCCUCAAGAUGCUUGGUGUGAAGCGUAUCGAAAGGGUACUUCCAACUGGUACUUCAUUGACUGUGGUUGGUGAGGCCGUCAAGGAUGAUGUUGGAACUGUUCGGGUCCAGCGUCCCCACAAAGGGCCAUUUUACGUAUCUCCUAGGACUAUUGAUGAGCUCAUUGGGAAUUUGGGAAAGUGGGCAAGGUGGUAUAGAUAUGCCUCAGUCGGCUUGACAGUUUUUGGCGUUUUUCUGAUUGCCAAGCAUGCUAUACAGUAUAUCAUGGAGAGAAGGCGCCGUUGGGAACUGCAGAGCAGGGUUCUUGCUGCUGCUGCUAAGAGACAAGAUCAAGAUUCUGAAGGUUCAAAUGGAAAAGCUGAGAAUGGAUCAGACAAUUCUAAGAGGGAACGUCCAAUUCCAGAUCUAUGUGUAAUAUGCCUUGAGCAGGAGUAUAAUGCCGUUUUUCUCCCGUGUGGCCAUAUGUGCUGUUGUACGACAUGCUCUUCACAUCUGACAAACUGUCCUCUAUGCCGGAGACGGAUAGAGCAGGUAGUGAAGACUUUCCGGCAUUGAGGAUUUGUUUCCAAGAUUUAGCAAGUGUCCCAGGUGAAGGCAAUUGUAACAAGGAGCUGAUUUUCCUGCACAUACAAGAUUUUGGUGUAAAAUCCUUUUAAUCAUGGUAAUAACUUCAUCUAUAUUUAUAGAUUAUUUCCCACCCAGUCAGUGUCCUGCUGUCAUUGCCUAUUGGGUUGAGAAAUAUUUUCUCCUGUGAAGAUUCUCAACUAAGUUGCCUUGUAGGCUUUGACAACAAUCAUCUUUUAAAACUUUAGAUGAUUUGCAGUCAGGCAUGCAUGUAAUAUGAUGUUAUUCUUAGGUACAUUAUUUGGCAUCUUUAGGGGUUGAAGCUGAAAUGAAAGGAUUUAUUUGUUUUCAUUACUGUUGCUGCCUUUUAUUUCAAUGCUUGUAAGCAUCCGGCUUUUAGAAAUGCAAAUCUUUUGAAAUUGUUAACUCUGCCACCACUAUUAAUGCAGUGAACGAAUAUUGCCAAUCUAAUGAUAUGCCUUGAAGAGACGAUAUGCAUCUUUAGGCAUAGUCUAUAGCUUAGUCCUCAAAAAUGGACAGAAACACGAGUGAAUGAGCGCACGUUUUUGCCUGAAGCAUGGAUAUGUUUCAGCUCUACCAAUGUGCUUGAAGAAUGCAUAUUGUAAAAAGCAGCCCCCUUCCCUCUCAUUGUGAUUUUAG